rnacentral:sRNA from 1 species
UGCACGAGAGUGGGCGACGCAAAUAGAGACAUAGAUAAAGAGAAGAUAAAAAAAUUCUAUAAAUUAUUGCCGGCCAAAACUUUCCGACGGCUGCUUGACCCCACACUUAUUAUUAUAGAAAAUAGAUCAAAUGAAAACACCUAUCGUCUACCAUCACCAUCUUUUCAUUGUUGUUAUAUUUCCUUUAAUUAUAUCAAAAAGUGGAUACAAAAAUCUUUUCAAAGUUUCAAGAAGUGCAGCAUCAGCUAAUAAUAAAAAUUAAUCAAUAUUAGCUGGAUACAAUUUGAAAAUCUUAGCCAGCAAUGGGCAAUGCCAAUCGAAUAUGGUUCUAAAAUCAUUUAUUCACAAUUAUUCAAGGUCAAAUUUGUUAGGUAUUUUAGGUCCAGCAUGUAGUGAAACCGUAGAACCCAUAGUUGGCUUAGGAAAGCAUAUGAAUUUGAUAGUUAUGUCCUAUUCUGCUGAGAGUGUAAACUUGAUUAAUAGUAAAUCUUACCCAUACUUCUUUCCUACAAUAGGAUCAGCUUUGAUUUUUAUAGGUGCAUAUCUUGAUAUCAUGAAAAUCUUACAUUGGAGUAUAGUAUGAAUUUUAUAUGAAAAUUAAGGCGUUGAAUGUCUCACGAAUUUGAAGCGUAAUUUAAAGUAUAGGAAAAGCGCACGCCAAGGCAUGCAGGUUGUCACCUCGUGGGCUGCCGUCCAUAGUGAUUGAUACCAACUACAAGCCCACUGAUAUCAAUAAGGUAUGAGACAUUUGUUAAAGGCGAAAUGCACAUUGAAUUUAUCAAUUAUCAUUUUUAUUAAAACCUUCAAAAAUGAAAUCAACCCCUUUCUAAGAUUAUAAUUACAAAUUUACAUAUUCCAACUGCUGCGAGAACAAUUUGUGAGGCAUUUAAAUUAAAAAUGACUCAACAAAAUGAUUAUAUUUGGUUUCUUCCCCAUGGACUUGCAAUAGACUUUUCUAGUUGGCAAUAUAUGUAAACGAUAGCUGUAGUGCGUAAGAAUUUAAUAAACCAAUAAUGGUAAUUUUAGUGCACACACCAUUUAGCAACUACACGGCACGCAUGCAAGAAGGCCAUACUAUGAAAGAUUGGAAAGAAUCGUAUAAAAUUCAAAUUGGAUCGGAACCUUCCUAUUAUUCCGGGUUUCCAGAUGCUGUUUGAACAUACGCCUUAGCCGCUCAUAAAUUACUAGUUGAAGACAAAAAUGUAUUUUU